ensembl:lncRNA
GUAUUUUAGUAUUUUAGCAGCUCCCCCCACCCCCCCAUCAAUGAACAAUUGGGAACAAGUCCGGGCAUGCCGGGCGAGUGCCCCGCUCCCAUCCCUUCAGUGGGUGAGCAUAAAGUGCAGCAUGAAUCCACAGAUUGUUGGGAGUUUUUCUCUUUUUCUGCCCAGCAGCAGCUGCCUCGUGCAGCUGCUCAGAGAUGCAGCUUGUGAGAGAUCCAACAGAACCGGCCGAAAGAAACAACAAACCCCGAAAUCAGAGCAGAGCGUUGUGUGGAUUGCUGGACGGGCCAGAGACGUGAUUGUCUUAUUGGAUAAUAAAACGAUGGCAAAGAGCAGGGACUCGAAGCGACUACAAAGCAAACAAAGAGGCAUUAAAAAACGGUAACAAGGAGACUCUAAGUCACAUAUAGAGAUAUAGAACAAACGCAAAGAGACAGGAAUACACCAAAGACGAGCGGAGUAUAUGACUCAUAGACAUGUAUUCCCACCACAAAUUCUCUCAUUUUAUUCACAAGCCCUCAAACAGAAGGCUACUCAUGAGGUAUCAAUAAGAACAUUUCAAUAAAACAUUUACAACAUGGAGGCCAGAAGGCAAAGGGAGCCUUAAAAACCUUUCCUCAUGUAAUUCAAUAGCUUGUUAGUUGGCAACAAAGGGCCGAGUCCUUCGCCUUCUCCUGAUUUUAAAUGAGCGAAUAUCAGCCAGCGAUGAAGACACUCACAUGUCACAGCGGUCAACGUACAUGUUGUACAUCACUAUGUGUCUUAGAAAAACUUAUAUUUUAGACCUUUGUGCUUUUAUGAAAAGAAUUGCGGGAGUUUGGGAGGAAUGUUCAAUCAUUUGCUUUUGUCAACAUUCACGGCAGAUAUGAGAAUUGUUCAUGUCCUUGUUUUAUAACUAAAAU